rnacentral:rRNA from 2 species
GGUUAAGUUAGAAAGGGCGCACGGUGGAUGCCUUGACACUAGGAGUCGAUGAAGGACGGGACUAACGCCGAUAUGCUUCGGGGAGCUGUAAGUAAGCUUUGAUCCGAAGAUUUCCGAAUGGGGAAACCCACCAUACGUAAUGGUAUGGUAUCCUUAUCUGAAUACAUAGGGUAAGGAAGACAGACCCAGGGAACUGAAACAUCUAAGUACCUGGAGGAAGAGAAAGCAAAUGCGAUUUCCUGAGUAGCGGCGAGCGAAACGGAACAUAGCCCAAACCAAGAGGCUUGCCUCUUGGGGUUGUAGGACAUUCUAUACGGAGUUACAAAGGAACGAGGUAGACGAAGCGACCUGGAAAGGUCCGUCGUAGAGGGUAACAACCCCGUAGUCGAAACUUCGUUCUCUCUUGAAUGUAUCCUGAGUACGGCGGAACACGUGAAAUUCCGUCGGAAUCUGGGAGGACCAUCUCCCAAGGCUAAAUACUCCCUAGUGAUCGAUAGUGAACCAGUACCGUGAGGGAAAGGUGAAAAGCACCCCGGAAGGGGAGUGAAAGAGAUCCUGAAACCGUGUGCCUACAAAUAGUCAGAGCCCGUUAACGGGUGAUGGCGUGCCUUUUGUAGAAUGAACCGGCGAGUUACGAUCCCGUGCGAGGUUAAGCUGAAGAGGCGGAGCCGCAGCGAAAGCGAGUCUGAAUAGGGCGUUUAGUACGUGGUCGUAGACCCGAAACCAGGUGAUCUACCCAUGUCCAGGGUGAAGUUCAGGUAACACUGAAUGGAGGCCCGAACCCACGCACGUUGAAAAGUGCGGGGAUGAGGUGUGGGUAGCGGAGAAAUUCCAAUCGAACCUGGAGAUAGCUGGUUCUCCCCGAAAUAGCUUUAGGGCUAGCCUUAAGUGUAAGAGUCUUGGAGGUAGAGCACUGAUUGGACUAGGGGUCCUCAUCGGAUUACCGAAUUCAGUCAAACUCCGAAUGCCAAUGACUUAUCCUUAGGAUUCUCUCCUCGACCGAUAAGAUCCGUAGUCAAAAGGGAAACAGCCCAGACCGCCAGCUAAGGUCCCAAAGUGUGUAUUAAGUGGAAAAGGAUGUGGAGUUGCUUAGACAACUAGGAUGUUGGCUUAGAAGCAGCCACCAUUUAAAGAGUGCGUAAUAGCUCACUAGUCGAGUGACUCUGCGCCGAAAAUGUACCGGGGCUAAAUACACCACCGAAGCUGCGGAUUGAUACCAAUGGUAUCAGUGGUAGGGGAGCGUUCUAAGGACAGUGAAGUCAGACCGUAAGGACUGGUGGAGUGCUUAGAAGUGAGAAUGCCGGUAUGAGUAGCGAAAGACGGGUGAGAAUCCCGUCCACCGAAUGCCUAAGGUUUCCUGAGGAAGGCUCGUCCGCUCAGGGUUAGUCAGGACCUAAGCCGAGGCCGACAGGCGUAGGCGAUGGACAACAGGUUGAUAUUCCUGUACCACCUCUUUAUCGUUUGAGCAAUGGAGGGACGCAGAAGGAUAGAAGAAGCGUGCGAUUGGUUGUGCACGUCCAAGCAGUUAGGCUGAUAAGUAGGCAAAUCCGCUUAUCAUAAAGGCUGAGCUGUGAUGGGGAAGCUCCUUAUGGAGCGAAGUCUUUGAUUCCCCGCUGCCAAGAAAAGCUUCUAGCGAGAUAAAAGGUGCCUGUACCGCAAACCGACACAGGUAGGCGAGGAGAGAAUCCUAAGGUGUGCGAGAGAACUCUGGUUAAGGAACUCGGCAAAAUGACCCCGUAACUUCGGGAGAAGGGGUGCUUUCUUAACGGAAAGCCGCAGUGAAUAGGCCCAAGCGACUGUUUAGCAAAAACACAGCUCUCUGCGAAGCCGUAAGGCGAAGUAUAGGGGGUGACACCUGCCCGGUGCUGGAAGGUUAAGGAGAGGGGUUAGCGUAAGCGAAGCUCUGAACUGAAGCCCCAGUAAACGGCGGCCGUAACUAUAACGGUCCUAAGGUAGCGAAAUUCCUUGUCGGGUAAGUUCCGACCCGCACGAAAGGUGUAACGAUUUGGGCACUGUCUCAACCAGAGACUCGGUGAAAUUAUAGUACCUGUGAAGAUGCAGGUUACCCGCGACAGGACGGAAAGACCCCGUGGAGCUUUACUGUAGCCUGAUAUUGAAUUUUGGUACAGUUUGUACAGGAUAGGCGGGAGCCAUUGAAACCGGAGCGCUAGCUUCGGUGGAGGCGCUGGUGGGAUACCGCCCUGACUGUAUUGAAAUUCUAACCUACGGGUCUUAUCGACCCGGGAGACAGUGUCAGGUGGGCAGUUUGACUGGGGCGGUCGCCUCCUAAAGUGUAACGGAGGCGCCCAAAGGUUCCCUCAGAAUGGUUGGAAAUCAUUCGUAGAGUGCAAAGGCAUAAGGGAGCUUGACUGCGAGACCUACAAGUCGAGCAGGGACGAAAGUCGGGCUUAGUGAUCCGGUGGUUCCGCAUGGAAGGGCCAUCGCUCAACGGAUAAAAGCUACCCCGGGGAUAACAGGCUUAUCUCCCCCAAGAGUCCACAUCGACGGGGAGGUUUGGCACCUCGAUGUCGGCUCAUCGCAUCCUGGGGCUGUAGUCGGUCCCAAGGGUUGGGCUGUUCGCCCAUUAAAGCGGUACGCGAGCUGGGUUCAGAACGUCGUGAGACAGUUCGGUCCCUAUCCGUCGUGGGCGUAGGAAAUUUGAGAGGAGCUGUCCUUAGUACGAGAGGACCGGGAUGGACGCACCGCUGGUGUACCAGUUGUUCUGCCAAGGGCAUAGCUGGGUAGCUAUGUGCGGAAGGGAUAAGUGCUGAAAGCAUCUAAGCAUGAAGCCCCCCUCAAGAUGAGAUUUCCCAUAGCGUAAGCUAGUAAGAUCCCUGAAAGAUGAUCAGGUUGAUAGGUUCGAGGUGGAAGCAUGGUGACAUGUGGAGCUGACGAAUACUAAUAGAUCGAGGACUUAACCAUAUA